rnacentral:rRNA from 1 species
GAUGAACGCUAGCGGCAGGCUUAACACAUGCAAGUCGAGGGGUAACAGGGUGCUUGCACCGCUGACGACCGGCGCACGGGUGCGUAACGCGUAUAGAACCUACCUUUUACAGGAGAAUACCCCAGAGAAAUUUGGAAUAAUGCUCCAUAGUAUUAUUGAAUGGCAUCAUUUGAUAAUUAAACAUUUAUGGGUAAAAGAUGGCUAUGCGUUCUAUUAGCUAGAUGGUAAGGUAACGGCUUACCAUGGCAACGAUAGAUAGGGGUCCUGAGAGGGAGAUCCCCCACACUGGUACUGAGACACGGACCAGACUCCUACGGGAGGCAGCAGUGAGGAAUAUUGGACAAUGGAGGCAACUCUGAUCCAGCCAUGCCGCGUGCAGGAAGACGGUCCUAUGGAUUGUAAACUGCUUUUAUACAGGAAGAAACACUCCCUCGUGAGGGAGCUUGACGGUACUGUAUGAAUAAGCACCGGCUAACUCCGUGCCAGCAGCCGCGGUAAUACGGAGGGUGCAAGCGUUAUCCGGAAUCAUUGGGUUUAAAGGGUCCGUAGGCGGGCUAAUAAGUCAGGGGUGAAAUCCAACAGCUUAACUGUUGAAUUGCCUUUGAUACUGUUAGUCUUGAGUUAUAUGGAAGUAGAUAGAAUGUGUAGUGUAGCGGUGAAAUGCUUAGAGAUUACACAGAAUACCGAUUGCGAAGGCAGUCUACUACGUAUAUA